rnacentral:sRNA from 1 species
UGACUUAGCUUUGCCUCGACUAAACC